rnacentral:rRNA from 1 species
UAACACAUGCAAGUCGAGCGGAAACGAGUUAACUGAACCUUCGGGGAACGUUAACGGCGUCGAGCGGCGGACGGGUGAGUAAUGCCUGGGAAAUUGCCCUGAUGUGGGGGAUAACCAUUGGAAACGAUGGCUAAUACCGCAUAAUAGCUUCGGCUCAAAGAGGGGGACCUUCGGGCCUCUCGCGUCAGGAUAUGCCCAGGUGGGAUUAGCUAGUUGGUGAGGUAAGGGCUCACCAAGGCGACGAUCCCUAGCUGGUCUGAGAGGAUGAUCAGCCACACUGGAACUGAGACACGGUCCAGACUCCUACGGGAGGCAGCAGUGGGGAAUAUUGCACAAUGGGCGCAAGCCUGAUGCAGCCAUGCCGCGUGUAUGAAGAAGGCCUUCGGGUUGUAAAGUACUUUCAGCAGUGAGGAAGGCGGAGUCGUUAAUAGCGGCCUCGUUUGACGUUAGCUGCAGAAGAAGCACCGGCUAACUCCGUGCCAGCAGCCGCGGUAAUACGGAGGGUGCGAGCGUUAAUCGGAAUUACUGGGCGUAAAGCGCAUGCAGGUGGUUUGUUAAGUCAGAUGUGAAAGCCCGGGGCUCAACCUCGGAAUUGCAUUUGAAACUGGCAGACUAGAGUACUGUAGAGGGGGGUAGAAUUUCAGGUGUAGCGGUGAAAAUGCGUAGAGAUCUGAAGGNAAUACCGGUGGCGAAGGCGGCCCCCUGGACAGAUACUGACACUCAGAUGCAAAAGCGUGGGGAGCAAA